rnacentral:rRNA from 1 species
AGUCCGUAGUGACCUGCGGAAGGAUCAUUCACACAUACGGUUGGCAUGAGCGCAACUCGCAUUUGAGGCUUUUUCGUCUCUGCAUGAUGUGUGCUGCUGCUGUGAGCUGCUGUAUGCAACCCCGAAACCAUUUUCCAACCUUUGAAUCGUGAUUCUCUUCCCAACAACGGUUUUUCUCUUUAACAAUAACCUAUACGUUUGUGUCCAUUCCUUUCCAGCUUUUCCGGCUGCGAAAUGGGUUGGGACUGCAUGCGUGAAAAUCAGCCCUAAAACUUUCGGCAAUGGAUGUCUUGGCUCGCGCAUCGAUGAAGGACGCAGCGAAAUGCGAUACGCAUUGUGAUUUGCAGAUUUCAGUGAACCAUCAGAUUUCUGAACGCAUAUGGCGCUGCCGGGAUUUCUCUGCAGCACGUCUGUUUCAGUGUCUUUUGACCACUCCACAGUAGACCAUUGGUUCUGGGAGAGAGUCGGCGAGAUGAGACUGUGCGGCGGUAUUGUUAUAUCUUUUUUGGGUGGUGUAMGGUAAUAAUACAUGUUCUUUGCUCAUUUUUCUGCGGCGAUGGUGUCGUUUGAGCGUCGGUAUGGGUUUGACCCUUGUUGGGGGUCCCGAUCGUCGCUGAAGUUUGGCUGGGCUCUUUCGUCUGCGCUUGUAUUGCGAGAUGGAGAGGGGCCCAUAAUGUCGUUGCAUUGCUUUUGAAAGCCAAUAUCCUUUCGUCUGAAAGAGAUACGGUGGUGGAGCGGUGUGUGUGCUGCUGGGAGUAGUCGCCGCACGAGGCUCUUCGUUUUUAUCUCUCGGCAGCGCGUGGUCGUUUUUUGGCGGCGACGAAUAGGAUGUUUGGUUUUGGCGGUGCUUGUCGGCUGUUACUUUGGCGAGCUUGGCGUGCAGAUGUGAAUGUGUGGGCGGGCAAAUGAUAUAUUUCUAGACCUGAAAUCAGUCGAGGUAC